ensembl:lncRNA
AGUCUGCAGUAAAUCUGAGGGUCUGUCAUGUGGGCGGGCAAGACAGGCCUGUAUUUCUCUGAUGGUCUUAGCAUAAUGGGUGGCGACACAGUCCUUGUUAUGUGGGGAGGUCGUGGCCUAGUGGUUAGAGAGUUUGGCUCCUAACCCUAAGUUUGUGGGUUCGAGUCUCGGGCCGGCAAUACCACGACUGAGGUGCCCUUGAGCAAGGCACUGAACCCCCAACUGCUCACCAAGCGCCACAGCAUAAAUGGCUGCCCACUGCUCUGGGUGUGUGUUCACGGUGUGUGUGUGUUCACUGCUGUGUGUGUGUGCACUUUGGAUGGGUUAUAUGCAGAGCAUGAAUUCUGAGUAUGGGUCACCAUACUUGGCUGUAUGUCACUGUCACUGUCACUUCUUCCCACUAUAUGUUGAGAUUACUUGAGAUACCUGAGAUAAUAUUAAUAAAUAAAGUAUAAACAUAAAUUUUUUUCACAUUUCACUUUUUUAGUCCUAAUGGUAGAGUAUACCAUGUAAACAAUAAACAUGCAUUUAAAGACAUUUUAUGUAGAGCACAAAGAGGACAUGAAUUUGUUUACACAGGACUUUUAUUGAUUUUCGAGCAUUACAAGGCAUUAUGCAUAGUGAUGGGCACAUGGAUUAUUGGCAAAGUAGAUUUUUAGACAGAUGGUUGCUGAUUUCUUUGUCUUUUUUGUCCAAAGCAGCACUUUAACCAUCAACUCAUGAUUUUUGUGCUGUGUGUUUACAGGUGGGCCUCUGUUCUGAACCUCCAAAACCCAGUACAGCUAUCCUGUCAGGUGUUAUUCAGGAAGGGUCAAAGGUCAUAACCCUCAAUUUCCCUCAAGCACAGAGGGCAGAGUUCAGCACAGUCUCUGCUCAACUGGCCCAGCAAAAGGAUCACUCAGAAAACUCUAGAAAAACACCAAGUCGCCCUUCCUCUGUGAACUCGGUCCGCUCAAGGAGGUCUGGAUCUCUCACUGCAGACCAUCUAACAGAGACUCUGUCCAAACAGACUCAUAGAUUUCAGCUACAGGUAACCAACUUUAAAAUAACCUUUUUGAUAAUUCAGAUUAACGGGUAUUUUAUUUUAACAACAGUGCUUUAAACCCAAAAUCUUUUUUUUUUUCAGGUUGAUGUUUUUGAGGCACUUAUAAAGAAUUGGAAACUCAAGCCUGAACAGAUAAAUGUAUGCUGACGCUUUUCUAAAAAACUUAAUUUUUAAAAGGCAUGAAGUCAGACUGACUCAGUCUGAAUCAUCUACAGGGUCUCUCCACGCUGGCACAGGGGCAGGGGUCUCUUGAAAGGGCUUACUUAGAUGCACGAGGCCAGUAUCAGAUGCAGGAGCAGCAACAAGGCGCGCUUGUCACCUUUGACCCAGACAGGUAGCCUCUUUUUAUGUCUAUGUAUAUAUACACUACCAUUCCAAAAUUAUUUGAAAUUAAUACUUUAAGUAAGUAAGAAUGCAUGAAUUUGAUCAAAAGUGACAGUAAAGACAUUUAUAAUGUUACAAGAGAUUUGUACUUGUAUAUAAAUGCUGGUCUUUUGAAAUUUCUAUUAAUUCAACUCUUUUCAUAUUAGAAUGAUUUCUGAAGGAUCAUAUGAGACUGAAGCCUGGG